ACGAACGCUGGCGGCGUGCUUAACACAUGCAAGUCGAACGGAAAGGCCCUGCUUUUGUGGGGUGCUCGAGUGGCGAACGGGUGAGUAACACGUGAGUAACCUGCCCUUGACUUUGGGAUAACUUCAGGAAACUGGGGCUAAUACCGGAUAGGAGCUCCUGCUGCAUGGUGGGGGUUGGAAAGUUUCGGCGGUUGGGGAUGGACUCGCGGCUUAUCAGCUUGUUGGUGGGGUAGUGGCUUACCAAGGCUUUGACGGGUAGCCGGCCUGAGAGGGUGACCGGCCACAUUGGGACUGAGAUACGGCCCAGACUCCGACGGGAGGCAGCAGUGGGGAAUAUUGCACAAUGGGCGGAAGCCUGAUGCAGCAACGCCGCGUGCGGGAUGACGGCCUUCGGGUUGUAAACCGCUUUCGCCUGUGACGAAGCGUGAGUGACGGUAAUGGGUAAAGAAGCACCGGCUAACUACGUG
rnacentral:rRNA from 1 species